AGCAGCCGCGGUAAUUCCAGCUCCAAUAGCGUAUAUUAAAGUUGUUGCAGUUAAAAAGCUCGUAGUUGAAUUUCGGGGUUAGUAGGUUGGUCGUGCCUCAGGUAUGUACUGAUCUCACUGAUUCCUCCUUCCUGAUGAACCGUAAUGCCAUUAAUUUGGUGUUGCGGGGAAACUGGACUGUUACUUUGAAAAAUUAGAGUGUUUAAAGCAGGCUAACGCUUGAAUACAUUAGCAUGGAAUAAUGAAAUAGGACGUUCGAUCCUAUUUUGUUGGUUUCUAGGACUGACGUAAUGAUUAAUAGGGAUAGUUGGGGGCAUUAGUAUUCAAUUGUCAGAGGUGAAAAUUCUUGGAUUUAUUGAAGACUAACUACUGCGAAAAGCAUUUGCCAAGGAUGUUUUCAUUAAUCAAGAACGAAAGUUAGGGGAUCGAAGACGAUCAGAUACCGUCGUA
rnacentral:rRNA from 1 species